AAUGGAGUUGGAUUUGUCGGAUUAUACUUUAGAUUCCAACGAGUUUUUGAUAUUUCCUGGGUUAGAUCCAUCAUUUACUAGUUUCAACAGUUUUACCGAUAGUUCUUCAAAUAUACUCAAGGAACAGGAACAGAAUACUAGAAGAUUAGAAACACAGGUUGUGAGAAGCCCUUCAGCUUUGAAUUCUUGGUUAGAUAAACCAGGUUAUGAAGGGCUGGAAGGGCACCAAGGAUUGGAAGUGAAGGGAGAGAAGAGAAAGUCUGAGACUAAUUCACAAAAUAGCAAACCUAUUGCCUGUGUUGUUUGUAGGAGAGAAUUUUCGGACAAGACAUUAAUGAAACGUCAUGUUCGGAGGGUUCAUUUUAAGCCACAGGUAUUAUGCUCUGAGUGUGGAAGGAGAGUAGCUGUUGAAAAUAUGAAGAAACAUAAACAAAACCAUUAGAAUUCUUAUCUCUUUUUAAAAAAUGUUUCUCUCUGAAAAGAACUGGUAACAAGAAAAUAAAUCUGAAAAAGAAAAUAGAGAGAGAGAGAGAGAUAGCAUUUUUAUAACCAAACUUCGAACAACCAUUUUUGGCACAUGAAUAAAAUAAAACGAAAAUCAUCUAGUCAGUCAAAAAGUUAUCAAAAAUUGAAAUAUUGUCCUCGGGGGGGAAAUUAUAUAUAUGUGAGAAAAAAUUGUCAGAAAAUUGAAAGAAAUUUUAUUAAGAAAGAGUGUUGUUAAAAGAUAUAAGAACUCGUUUAACUCAAACUUAUAUGAACCAACUGCAACAAACAUUCAACCUAGAUUUCAAAUAAUAAUAAAUCUUGAAUGGUAGAAAACUUAACAUUUCAAAUCUUUUCUGUGAUGUAAUUUUGCGUGCCUUAAUAUGUCAGAAACUUGUCCCUAAAAAUACCUGAUCUUCAUAAUAUAUAUUGUUUACGUUACAACUUCAAGAAAUGAAAAUUAUAUUGAAACCAAAAUCCAAUAUGUAAAGAACUAAAUAUUGAUCCAAUUUAACAAUUAUAUUUCAGAAAAUACCAAAAUUUAAGUUUGGGAUAAAUUUUUAAUAUGGGUGAGAAGAGAAGCAAUGGUGUUCAUCAUAUCCCUGUGGAUAUUCUCGACGAAAUUGCUGCAAGAUUUAUCGUAAACCUGAACCAGGAGGAGAGACAAGAUAUAGUCAGAAUUUGUUUCCAGGUUGAAGAGGCGCAUUGGUUCUAUACAGACUUCUAUGUAAACCAAAAACCAGAAAUGAAUCUUCAGUCUGGUACAAUGCGGAGUUUCACUGAACAUAUUUUUCGUCAUGUUCCAUUUCUGCAGAGUCAUGUGAAUAAUGUGGACGAUAUUCUUACGCUAUGGAGAACAUAUAAGCUGAAAGUGCCAACCUAUGGUGCAAUUAUUCUAAAUACUAAAAUGGACAAGGUUCUACUAGUCCAGGGUUUCUAUGCUCGAUCUAGCUGGGGGUUCCCUAAAGGAAAAAUAAAUCAGGAUGAAGAACCACAUAUUUGCGCUGCAAGGGAAGUAUAUGAGGAGACCGGAUAUGACAUUACCUCAAAGGUGGAUCCUGAAGUUUAUGUUGAACACAUGUUGAAUGAUCAGCCCGUAAGACUCUACCUAAUCCCUGGGGUUCCAGAGAAUACAAAGUUUGAACCCAGAUCCAGAUGUGAGAUACGAGAUAUCAGAUGGUUUGAUAUUAAUCUUCUUCCUUUAAACAAAUCUGAUCAGAAUUGUAAAAUCAAGAAUGGGUUUAACCCAAACAGUUUCUACAUGGUCAUUCCUUUUAUUCGUGAAGCUAAGGCUUGGGCCCAAACUAAACUUUGGCAGAGAUUACAAUUUCAGGAUGAACCUCAAGAAAAAGGCCGAAGUGGCCGGAAGUCGGUCCCCCGGACCAAACAGGAAGACGGCCGUACACCGGCUUCUGGUGUGAAGGAGAGAAAGAUCUCUGUCCCAGGAUUAAAACAGCAGACAGAUCGAAGAACCCCAGGCUCUAGCUUUAAACCUUCUCAAUCCUCAGUAUCUAGGAACAUGGAGGUAGAGAGUAGUGAAUCUAGAAGAAAUCAGGAGAAUAUGAGGAAUUCCAAGUCUAAGGUAAAGGGAAGCAGAAGACAGCUCUUUGAAACUGGUCAAGAUACCUCCAGAGAGAGUACAGUUACCCCACAGGAUAAACUUGGAUCCUUUCGUCCGGCCCUACUCCCUACUCCAGGAUCAAAUCCAGCCCAACUCCCUACUCCAGGAUCCAAUCCAAUCAAUAACUUGAAUAAAUCUAAAGAGAAUCGAUCCAACCAACAACCCUCUCUUCUUCCACCAAACUUCUGUCCUAAAGCUUGGUCAAACUUCAGGUUGGAUGAAAAUACUCUGAUAAGUGCGUUUUUUAAUACAGCAGGCAAACCAAGAAUAAAAUAGUUGAACAAGAAUGUGAAUCAAUUCGUCCAAACCACUCGGAGGAAAUCAAGACCUUUCUGUUAUUUUCUUGAAUAGAAACUUGUACAUUGUACAUUACAUGCAUAAAAUACUAAAUUUUUAUUUUAUGUCAAUGUAAAUAGUGUAUGUAUUCCAUGAUUAUGAGAAAUGCAGAUCUUUUCUUUAAUUUUGGCACAUUUAACCCAAAUGGAAGAAAACGUUUAUUAGUUUAUUGAAGACGACUUUCAACUGGAGCUUUACAAAUUUUUGACUGGUUAAAAUAUUUAUUAAUAUACAGAAAGUUAUCAUCAAACAAUCCAUGCUGUUGAACGUUCAGUUAAUUAUUUUGUAAGAUGAUAUUAUUUAUUGUUACGUUUUUUGAUGUAAUUGUUACGUCAUAACUAUUAAUAUUUGACUUGGUGACCCUUUUCCUUAUAAAAAAACUUUGUAAAUGCAGACUACCUGAGCAAUGUUGUAUAGUGUUGUACAGUACCAUUAUGCACCGUGCACAUCUUGUACAGUACAACUGACUGGUUGUCCCAAUAAUGGUUAUCCAAAUUCUUCAAUUCAUAUUUAUCAGUAUUAAAUCUAAAUAUAAUAGUUUUAGAUCUCUUGUGUGAAAAGUUUGGAUGGACUAAAAUUCUUUAACUUUUCAUUUUAUCCUUGAGAGUUAAAACUUGUAGGUGCAUUUGCAUUUUUAUAUAUUUGUAUAUUGUAAUAUAUUUUGGUGUAAAAAGUGUAAAUAAACCUGAAAUGUGAA
rnacentral:misc_RNA from 1 species